rnacentral:rRNA from 1 species
CAGUCGCCGCGGGAAUACAGAGGGUGCGAGCGUUAAUCGGAUUUACUGGGCGUAAAGCGUGCGUAGGCGGCUUCUUAAGUCGGAUGUGAAAUCCCUGAGCUUAACUUAGGAAUUGCAUUCGAUACUGGGAAGCUAGAGUAUGGGAGAGGAUGGUAGAAUUCCAGGUGUAGCGGUGAAAUGCGUAGAGAUCUGGAGGAAUACCGAUGGCGAAGGCAGCCAUCUGGCCUAAUACUGACUCUGAGGUACGAAAGCAUGGGGAGCAAACAGGAUUAGAUACCCGGGUAGUCCCUGUCUCUUAUAC